rnacentral:rRNA from 1 species
UACGUAGGGGGCAAGCGUUGUCCGGAUUUAUUGGGCGUAAAGAGCGUGUAGGCGGCCAGGUAGGUCAGCUGUGAAAACUCGAGGCUCAACCUCGAGACGCCGGUUGAAACCAUCUGGCUAGAGUCCGGAAGAGGAGUGUGGAAUUCCCGGUGUAGCGGUGAAAUGCGCAGAUAUCGGGAAGAACACCCGUGGCGAAGGCGGCACUCUGGGACGGUACUGACGCUGAGACGCGAAAGCGUGGGGAGCGAACAGG